rnacentral:rRNA from 1 species
AGUGAACGCUGGCGGCGUGCCUAAUACAUGCAAGUCGAACGGAGUGGCGCACGGGUGAGUAAUAUAUAGCUAAUCUGCCCCUUGCUGGAGGGCAACAGUCCGAAAUGAAUGCUAAUACUCCAUAGCAAGGGAUGAGACUAUAUCGUAUCAGCUAGUCGGUGGGGUAACGGCCUACCGAGGCGAUGACGCGUAACUGGUCUGAGGGGAUGAGCAACCGCAUUGGAACUGAGGCACGGUACAAACUCCGACGGGAGGCGGCUGGAGGGUAGAUUGCGCAAGGGGAGUAGCCCGAACGAAGCAGCGCCGCGGGGAGGAUGACACUUUUCGGAGCGGAAACUCCUUUUGUUAGUGAAGCGGUACCUAACGAAUAAGCACCGGCUAACUCCGUGCCAGCAGCCGCGGUAAUUC